rnacentral:rRNA from 1 species
AUUGAACGCUGGCGGAAUGCUUUACACAUGCAAGUCGAACGGCAGCACGGGGGCAGCCCUGGUGGCGAGUGGUGAACGGGUGAGUAAUACAUCGGAACGUGCCCGGUCGCGGGGGAUAACGUAGCGAAAGCUACGCUAAUACCGCAUACGAUCUGAGGAUGAAAGCGGGGGACCUCCGGGUCUCGCGCGAUCGGAGCGGCCGAUGUCAGAUUAGGUAGUUGGUGGGGUAAAGGGCUACCAAGCCGACGAUCCGUAACUGGUCUGAGAGGACGACCCGCCAGACGGUGACUGAGACACGGCCCAGACUCCUACGGGAGGCAGCAGUGGGGAAUUUUGGACAAUGGGGGCAAGCCUGAUCCUGCCAUUCCGCGUGCAGGACGAAGGACUUCUGGUUGUAGACUGCUGUUGUACGGAACGAAAAGGCUCUGGCUAAUACCUGGGGCUCAUGACGGUACCGGAAGAAUAAGCACCGGCUAACUACGUG